UACGUAGGGUGCAAGCGUUAAUCGGAAUUACUGGGCGUAAAGCGUGCGCAGGCGGUUAUGUAAGACAGAUGUGAAAUGCCCGGGCUUAACCUGGGAACUGCAUUUGUGACUGCAUGGCUAGAGUUUGGCAGAGGGGGGGUAGAAUUCCACGUGUAGCAGUGAAAUGCGUAGAUAUGUGGAGGAACACCAGUGGCGAAGGCGGCUCACUGGCCCGUAACUGACGCUGAGGUGCGAAAGCGUGGGGAGCAAACAGG
rnacentral:rRNA from 1 species